UACAGAGGGUGCAAGCGUUGUUCGGAAUUACUGGGCGUAAAGCGUGCGUAGGCUGUAUUGAGAGUCAUAGGUGAAAUCCCCAGGCUUAACCUGGGAACUGCCCGUGAGACCUCAGUACUAGAGUGUGAGAGAGGAUCGUGGAAUACCUGGUGUAGCGGUGAAAUGCGUAGAGAUCAGGUGGAACACCGGUGGCGAAGGCGGCGAUCUGGCUCAUAACUGACGCUCAGGCACGAAAGCGUGGGUAGCAAACAGG
rnacentral:rRNA from 1 species